rnacentral:tRNA from 3 species
UCCGCAGUAGCUCAGUGGUAGAGCAAUCGGCUGUUAACCGAUUGGUCGUAGGUUCGAGUCCUACCUGCGGAGCCA